CCUAAUCUCCUUGUGAACACUCUUGACAUAACAUGGAUUGCCUAAUCUUCUUGUGAACACUCUUGAUAUAACAUGGAUUGCCCAAUCUCCUUGUGAACACUCUUGACAUAACAUGGAUUGCAUAAUCUCCUUGUGAACACUCUUGACAUAACAUGGAUUGCCUAAUCUUCUUGUGAACACUCUUGACAUAACAUGGAUUGCCCAAUCUCCUUGUGAACACUCUUGACAUAACAUGGAUUGCAUAAUCUCCUUGUGAACACUCUUGACAUAACAUGGAUUGCCUAAUCUCCUUGUGAACACUCUUGACAUAACAUGGAUUGCCUAAUCUUCUUGUGAACACUCUUUACAUAACAUGGAUUGCAUAAUCUCCUUGUGAACACUCUUGACAUAACAUGGAUUGCCUAAUCUCCUUGUGAACACUCUUGACAUAACAUGGAUUGCCUAAUCUUCUUGUGAACACUCUUGACAUAACAUGGAUUGCCUAAUCUCCUUGUGAACACUCUUGACAUAACAUGGAUUGCAUAAUCUCCUUGUGAACACUCUUGACAUAACAUGGAUUGCCUAAUCUCCUUGUGAACACUCUUGACAUAACAUGGAUUGCCUAAUCUCCUUGUGAACACUCUUGACAUAACAUGGAUUGCCUAAUCUCCUUGUGAACACUCUUGACAUAACAUGGAUUGCCUAAUCUCCUUGUGAACACUCUUGACAUAACAUGGAUUGCCUAAUCUUCUUGUGAACACUCUUGACAUAACAUGGAUUGCCUAAUCUCCUUGUGAACACUCUUGACAUAACAUGGAUUGCCCAAUCUCCUUGUGAACACUCUUGACAUAACAUGGAUUGCAUAAUCUCCUUGUGAACACUCUUGACAUAACAUGGAUUGCCUAAUCUCCUUGUGAACACUCUUGACAUAACAUGGAUUGCCUAAUCUCCUUGUGAACACUCUUGACAUAACAUGGAUUGCCUAAUCUCCUUGUGAACACUCUUGACAUAACAUGGAUUGCCUAAUCUCCUUGUGAACACUCUUGACAUAACAUGGAUUGCCUAAUCUCCUUGUGAACACUCUUGACAUAACAUGGAUUGCCUAAUCUCCUUGUGAACACUCUUGACAUAACAUGGAUUGCCUAAUCUCCUUGUGAACACUCUUGACAUAACAUGGAUUGCCUAAUCUCCUUGUGAACACUCUUGACAUAACAUGGAUUGCCUAAUCUCCUUGUGAACACUCUUGACAUAACAUGGAUUGCCUAAUCUCCUUGUGAACACUCUUGACAUAACAUGGAUUGCCUAAUCGCCUUGUGAACACUCUUGACAUAACAUGGAAUGUCUAAUCUCCUUGUGAACACUCUUGACAUAACAUGGAUUGCCUAAUCUCCUUGUGAACACUCUUGACAUAACAUGGAUUGCCUAAUCUCCUUGUGAACACUCUUGACAUAACAUGGAUUGCCUAAUCUCCUUGUGAACACUCUUGACAUAACAUGGAUUGCCUAAUCUCCUUGUGAACACUCUUGACAUAACAUGGAUUGCCUAAUCUCCUUGUGAACACUCUUGACAUAACAUGGAAUGUCUAAUCUCCUUGUGAACACUCUUGACAUAAUGUGUCACAUAGGUUAAAAAACUAUGUCAAAUUAAAGAAAGAAAAGAUUUGAUUUUCAAAUACCUUUAACAUGCGGCUUUAAAGUGCAAUAUGCUAAAAUGACGUCAUCGGAUGUCAAGCCUAAGGCGGGUUUGUACAACACCACAACUAAAUACAUUAAUAAAAUAAGUGACAAAUUCAGGUAAUCUGGUGGGCAUAUAUUUCUUAUUAUAUAUCUCUUUUCUUUUGCCAAAACAAAAUAUUUUAAUUGUAACAUGCUGAUUUUUUUAUUUCAAAUAAUUUUAGUUGCACUAUUUGGUCGGUAAAGAUAGAAAUAAACAUUCAAGCUUUGUAGUUAAACAUUGUGUACCUUGAUUGUUGCUUCCUCUUCAAUUGCACUACUACUUUUGUGUGCUACAGUUGUUUGGUGCCUUGUCUGAUAAUUGUUUUAAAUGAUAUAUCAGCUGAAUUUGAAACUUGGUCUUGUGGGGUAAAACACAGGUCACUAUGUAGAUUAAAGACAAAGCUUGUGAACACUCUGGAGGCCAUUAUUAUUGACCAAUGAUCUCAGGGGACUUCAAAACAGGGUCACAUUUAGUAAAAAACUAGGUCAAUAGGUCAAAUUAAAAAAAAACUAAAAAAUUAAGGCCACAUUUAUUGCACAAUUUUCAUGAACCAAUUAUUUCUCAGAUACAAACUGAGUCACGUGGUGUCAAACACAAGGUUGUUAGGGUAAAUGCACAUGGCAGCCAGUUAACCUACCCACACUUGUACUGUGUAACCUUGUUUACCAGUGCACAUAUUUAUGCCAGUAACUGCCCAAGUUGAAUAAGAGGUAGAUUAAAAAUGGCAGUAGAAUGAUUUCAUGACCAAUUCCUUCACAAGUUAUGUGGCACACCUGUGAUUCUCAACUUUGUAGUCCAGCACUUUCCCAACCGAGGUAUAUGGCCCGCUUGUCACAUUUAUUACCCAAUCUUCAUGACAUGUGGACAAAUCAAUAGUCCAAAUGGUUUGAAACUUAGUCAUGUGUGGGUUAAAAAACUAGGCCUUUAGGACACAUUUAAGAAACAUUUUGUGAACACUUUAGGCCAGAUGUAUUGCCCAAUCUUCAUGAAACUUAGUCAGAAAAUAUAUCAAGUGAUAUCUCCAAUGAGUUCCAAACUAGGUCACAUGGGAUAAAAAAAAUAUGAUGAAAACAUUUUGUCCCAAUCAAAGCUAAGAUCAUUUCAAAAGUGGGUUAAAUUUUGAAACAAAAAGAUCAAAAAGUCAAAUUUAAAAAAAGCUUUUUAACACUAGAAAUCACAUUUAUUUGCCCAAUCUUCUUGUUACUUGCUCUAAACAUUUGUUCUAAUGAUUUCUCUGACAAAUAAAAUAUUGUCCAUUUUAAUAUACUGGCAAUUCGGCGCAACAGUUUUCUUUAUGUUGCUACGGUAAACUAUGCCAACCUAAUGUUGAAAAUUGCCAAGAGAAUUACAGAAAUUUGUCUGGUCUGUGUUUGAAAAUGAUUGUGGUUUGUUUAAAAAGCAAAACAUGGCCACUAGGUGUUAGGGCAGUUUUCCUUGUAAGUCAAUUGUGAAAUCUUGUGACCUGUACCUGCACAGAACAGUUUAGUUCAUUUGGGUCUCAGGUGAGCGUUUUAUAACCUCUAAAUCUAAAUACAUGUUUGUGAUAUCAUAGAAUAUUUUAGUGUUAUAUUUUAAAUGCAUAUUUGGAAAAGGUAAAAGUAACAAAGUAUCUUCUUAUGUUUAUUCAAGUUUUAUUCUAAACCCUUUGUUUGAAAUAUAUUGUUUUAACAUUUUUUUUAAACAAAUUAUCCAUUAGUUUGUAAUUGUUUGUUAUACGUCAAAAUGUUUUAAAUAAGCUUAUGGAAAUUAAAUAAUUUAUUUGUAUACCAUUAUUUUCCUAUGUUGAAUAUAUUCAGCUGUUGUCUAAUUUUCCCAAUAAAAAUAUUUAUACAUUGGCUGUGUUUAUACAAUUGUUGAUAGAAAUAAUGAUGCACCUUAUGCAAUGACUUACGUUCCCAAAAGUAAUAGUCGAAUCCUACCAAUUGUCCGCAAUAAACAUUUACAUCAAAAUAAUGAUAAUGAAGUCAAAAAGAAUUAUAAAAGAACCAAUAAUAGUAGUUGAUUGUAGUCUGUAUUUAAAAAUGAUAAACUAGCUGAUAUAUCCAUCUGCAUAACAGAAUAAACCUUAAUAUAAAUAUUUUACUUAAAAUAAAAACAUUAGAUGAAACCACUGUAAUAGGUAUUUAGACUACUGUAAAUGUUAUCAGUACAUCAGACAUGAUGCAUACUAAAGACAUUUGUUUAUGGGAACCUUUUAAAUGCGUCUGUGUUGUUAAUGCAGCUUUUGUUACUACUCUAUUUAUUUCAUAAGGUUUAUGUUGACAUUGGCACUAUUUCAAAGUAAAAGUUCUACCAGUAUUCCUAUGUCACAAGUAUUUAGAUAAAACAUAACCAAUGGUUAUCAUGACAAAGAUAUAAAAGCAUGAAUU